rnacentral:rRNA from 1 species
GAUGAACGCUGGCGGCGUGCCUAAUACAUGCAAGUAGAACGCUGAAGGCGGAGCUUGCUCUUCUGGAUGAGUUGCGAACGGGUGAGUAACGCGUAGGUAAGCUGCCUGGUAGCGGGGGAUAACUUUUGGAAACGAUAGCUAAUACCGCAUGACAACAGUUAUUGCAUGAUAACUGUUUAAAAGGGGCAACUGCUGCUCUACCAGAUGGAUCUACGUUGUAUUAGCUAGUUGGUGAGGUAACGGCUCACCAGGGCCACGAUACAUAGCCGACCUGCGAGGGUGAUCUGCCACACUGGGACUGAGACACGGCCCAGACACCUACGAGAGGCAGCAGUAGGAGAUCUCCGGGAAUGGACGGAAGGCUGAACGAUCAACGCCGCGUGAGUGAAGAAGGUUUUCGGGUCGUAAAGCUCUGUUGUAAGAUAGGAUCGUGUGGGAGUGUGGAAAGUUCACACAGUGACGGUAUCUUACCAGAAAGCGACGGCUAACUACGUG